GCGAUACAGGGUGACAGCCCCGUACACAAAAAUGCACAUACUGUGAGCUCGAUGAGUAGGGCGGGACACGUGGUAUCCUGUCUGAAUAUGGGGGGACCAUCCUCCAAGGCUAAAUACUCCUGACUGACCGAUAGUGAACCAGUACCGUGAGGGAAAGGCGAAAAGAACCCCGGCGAGGGGAGUGAAAAAGAACCUGAAACCGUGUACGUACAAGCAGUGGGAGCACGCUUAGGCGUGUGACUGCGUACCUUUUGUAUAAUGGGUCAGCGACUUAUAUUCUGUAGCAAGGUUAACCGAAUAGGGGAGCCGAAGGGAAACCGAGUCUUAACUGGGCGUUAAGUUGCAGGGUAUAGACCCGAAACCCGGUGAUCUAGCCAUGGGCAGGUUGAAGGUUGGGUAACACUAACUGGAGGACCGAACCGACUAAUGUUGAAAAAUUAGCGGAUGACUUGUGGCUGGGGGUGAAAGGCCAAUCAAACCGGGAGAUAGCUGGUUCUCCCCGAAAGCUAUUUAGGUAGCGCCUCGUGAAUUCAUCUCCGGGGGUAGAGCACUGUUUCGGCAAGGGGGUCAUCCCGACUUACCAACCCGAUGCAAACUGCGAAUACCGGAGAAUGUUAUCACGGGAGACACACGGCGGGUGCUAACGUCCGUCGUGAAGAGGGAAACAACCCAGACCGCCAGCUAAGGUCCCAAAGUCAUGGUUAAGUGGGAAACGAUGUGGGAAGGCCCAGACAGCCAGGAUGUUGGCUUAGAAGCAGCCAUCAUUUAAAGAAAGCGUAAUAGCUCACUGGUCGAGUCGGCCUGCGCGGAAGAUGUAACGGGGCUAAACCAUGCACCGAAGCUGCGGCAGCGACGCUUAUGCGUUGUUGGGUAGGGGAGCGUUCUGUAAGCCUGCGAAGGUGUGCUGUGAGGCAUGCUGGAGGUAUCAGAAGUGCGAAUGCUGACAUAAGUAACGAUAAAGCGGGUGAAAAGCCCGCUCGCCGGAAGACCAAGGGUUCCUGUCCAACGUUAAUCGGGGCAGGGUGAGUCGACCCCUAAGGCGAGGCCGAAAGGCGUAGUCGAUGGGAAACAGGUUAAUAUUCCUGUACUUGGUGUUACUGCGAAGGGGGGACGGAGAAGGCUAUGUUGGCCGGGCGACGGUUGUCCCGGUUUAAGCGUGUAGGCUGGU
rnacentral:rRNA from 1 species